AUUGAACGCUGGCGGCAGGCCUAACACAUGCAAGUCGAGCGAGCGGCGGACGGGUGAGUAAUGCCUAGGAAUCUGCCUGGUAGUGGUGGAUAACGUCCGGAAACGGGCCCUAAUACCGCAUACCCUCAGAUGCACCCAUAUGGGAUUAGCUUGUAGGUGAGGGAACGGCUCACCUAGGCGACGAUCCCUAGCUGGUCUGAGAGGAUGAUCAGCCACACUGGUACUGAGACACGGCCCAGACUCCGACGGUAGGCAGCAGUGGGGAAUAUUGCACAAUGGGCGCAAGCCUGAUGCAGCCAUGCCGCGUGUAUGAAGAAGGCUUUCGGGUUGUAAAGUACUUUCAGUCGGGAGGCGUUACCGACAGAAGAAGCACCGGCUAACUCCGUGCCAGCAGCCGCGGUAAUUC
rnacentral:rRNA from 1 species